CGCUGCGGCCAGCCUCGCCCGCCCAGAGCCCCGUGGCCAGCGGCCGGCCGCGGGGCCGUUUUGUCCUGAGGGCCAGAGAAAGGGAGAAGGGGGUGGGGGUACAGCCACGUGGCCGCAGGAGGUUUUACAACAUUUUCUUUCGCCAUCGAUGUUAUCGCAAAAUGUGUGAGAGAAGCGGCUGCGCAGCCCGGACGGGAGCGUGAGGGCGCGGGCCAGCGUUCCAGAGACUGAACUUCUCAAAUCACUGCUUCAACAGCUUUUAAAAAUCUGGACCUAGUUACUCCUGUCAUCCACGUGUAAAGAUUUAGAAAAAAAAUCCCAAACCCAAGGGUGGGCAGCCGCGAGGAUGUACAGCUCCUGGCAGUGUGCGCUCACCGGAGACCUGAGGUCAAAGCCCAAAUGCUGAGCACCUCCUGGGAGGCGGGAGCAUGGUCUGCUCAGUGCCAGACAUCUGGAUAUUGAGAAAACAUCUGGGUAGCUGGGGUUUUCAGGUUUCUGCCUGACAUUUAAUAUCACAAACAUUGAGCCUGCUCCUGUUCCCCGCCAGCCACGCGGCUUCUCCUCCCAAACAUACCCAGCUCCUUCCCCUGCCUUCCUGACGGGUAAGAAACAUCCAUUCUUUCCAAUUCCCCAGCGUUUUCCCCCUACCGGAAAUCUGAUGGGCUUAUGACAUCAUGGCUGGCUGCUGAGCGAUGAAGUGGAUGCCACAAAGAAAUCCGACAUAUCAGAUAGAUUCUGAAAUCGGUUUCCCUCCAGCUGUAGUAACAGGCGUGAAGUCAGGAGAAUUUGAGCUUUGUUUAAAAAAUAAAUAAAUAAACCAUAACAAAGUCUU